AUUGAACGCUGGCGGCAGGCCUAACACAUGCAAGUCGAGCGGAUGAAGGGAGCUUGCUCCUGGAUUCAGCGGCGGACGGGUGAGUAAUGCCUAGGAAUCUGCCUGGUAGUGGGGGAUAACGUCCGGAAACGGGCGCUAAUACCGCAUACGUCCUGAGGGAGAAAGUGGGGGAUCUUCGGACCUCACGCUAUCAGAUGAGCCUAGGUCGGAUUAGCUAGUUGGUGGGGUAAAGGCCUACCAAGGCGACGAUCCGUAACUGGUCUGAGAGGAUGAUCAGACACACUGGAACUGAGACACGGUCCAGACUCCUACGGGAGGCAGCAGUGGGGAAUAUUGGACAAUGGGCGAAAGCCUGAUCCAGCCAUGCCGCGUGUGUGAAGAAGGUCUUCGGAUUGUAAAGCACUUUAAGUUGGGAGGAAGGGAAGUAAGUUAAUACCUUGCUGUUUUGACGUUACCAACAGAAUAAGCACCGGCUAACUUCGUG
rnacentral:rRNA from 1 species